CGGGCCGCGCGAGCCUCUGUGCUGCCGGCGGGAUGCAGCGGGCGUGCGGCCAGGGCGCGGGGCCGCCACCUGCUGGGGAGCCAGGAACAGCGCUGUCUACAAGUUCACCAGCCAGGACACCUCCGACUGCUUGAGAACACACGUGUGAUAGUGUAAUUUCUGCUUUUCUGAAAGAACUCGGAGGAGACCUGAUAGAGGAGCUUGGGGAACAUCUCCGUCAGGACACAGUCCCUGCAGGUCAGUGAAAUCUACCACGAUGAGUCUUUGGGGGCCCACAUCAACGUGGUGCUGGUGCGGAUCAUCCUGCUGAGCCAUGGGAAGACAAAUUUGAAACCAGAAAGAAAAUUGGAAGGAAGAAGUUACUGCUGCACUUAAGUUCCGAGAAUUUUCUCAAGUAUAAUUCAAUCUGUAAACUGC